AUUCGAUUAGAGUUUGAUCCUGGCUCAGGAUGAGCGCUGGCGGCGUGCUUAACACAUGCAAGUCGAACGAACCUUCGGGUUAGUGGCGGACGGGUGAGUAACGCGUGAGAAUCUGCCCUCAGGAGGGGGACAACAGCUGGAAACGGCUGCUAAUACCCCAUAUGCCGCGAGGUGAAAUGAAUUUCGCCUGAGGAUGAGCUCGCGUCUGAUUAGCUAGUUGGUGUAGGUAAUGGCUCACCAAGGCAUCGAUCAGUAGCUGGUCUGAGAGGAUGAUCAGCCACACUGGGACUGAGACACGGCCCAGACUCCUACGGGAGGCAGCAGUGGGGAAUUUUCCGCAAUGGGCGAAAGCCUGACGGAGCAACGCCGCGUGAGGGAUGAAGGCCUCUGGGCUGUAAACCUCUUUUAUCAAGGAAGAAGAUCUGACGGUACUUGAUGAAUAAGCCACGGCUAAUUCCGUGCCAGCAGCCGCGGUAAUACGGGAGUGGCAAGCGUUAUCCGGAAUUAUUGGGCGUAAAGCGUCCGCAGGCGGCCCUUCAAGUCUGCUGUUAAAAAGUGGAGCUUAACUCCAUCAUGGCAGUGGAAACUGUUGGGCUUGAGUGUGGUAGGGGCAGAGGGAAUUCCCGGUGUAGCGGUGAAAUGCGUAGAUAUCGGGAAGAACACCAGUGGCGAAGGCGCUCUGCUGGGCCAUCACUGACGCUCAUGGACGAAAGCCAGGGGAGCGAAAGGGAUUAGAUACCCCUGUAGUCCUGGCCGUAAACGAUGAACACUAGGUGUCGGGGGAAUCGACCCCCUCGGUGUCGUAGCCAACGCGUUAAGUGUUCCGCCUGGGGAGUACGCACGCAAGUGUGAAACUCAAAGGAAUUGACGGGGGCCCGCACAAGCGGUGGAGUAUGUGGUUUAAUUCGAUGCAACGCGAAGAACCUUACCAGGGUUUGACAUCCUGCGAAUCUCUUGGAAACGAGAGAGUGCCUUCGGGAACGCAGUGACAGGUGGUGCAUGGCUGUCGUCAGCUCGCGUCGUGAGAUGUCGGGUUAAGUCCCGCAACGAGCGCAACCCACGUCUUUAGUUGCCAGCAUUUAGUUGGGCACUCUAGAGAGACUGCCGGUGAUAAACCGGAGGAAGGUGUGGAUGACGUCAAGUCAUCAUGCCCCUUACAUCCUGGGCUACACACGUACUACAAUGCUACGGACAAAGGGCUGCAAGUUCGCGAGGACAAGCAAAUCCCAUAAACCGUGGCUCAGUUCAGAUCGUAGGCUGCAACUCGCCUACGUGAAGGCGGAAUCGCUAGUAAUCGCAGGUCAGCAUACUGCGGUGAAUACGUUCCCGGGCCUUGUACACACCGCCCGUCACACCAUGGAAGUUGGCCACGCCCGAAGCCGUUACUCCAACCCUUGUGGAGGAGGACGUCGAAGGUGGGGCUGAUGACUGGGGUGAAGUCGUAACAAGGUAACCAAUCACUAGUGAAUUC
rnacentral:rRNA from 1 species